rnacentral:rRNA from 1 species
UGGGGAAUAUUGCGCAAUGGCCUAAGGGCUGACGCAGCGACGCCGCGUGUGGGAGGACGCCCCUAGGGGUGUAAACCACUGUUGCCCGGGACGAAUCCUGGAUUAGCUCCAGGUUGACGGUACCGGGUGAGGAAGCACCGGCUAACUCCGUGCCAGCAGCCGCGGUAAUACGGAGGGUGCGAGCGUUGUCCGGAAUCACUGGGCGUAAAGGGCGCGUAGGCGGCAGGCCAAGCGUGCGGUGAAAGUCCGGGGCUCAACCCCGGAUCGGCCGUGCGGACUGGUUUGCUAGAGCACUGUAGAGGCGAGUGGAAUUCCGGGUGUAGCGGUGGAAUGCGUAGAGAUCCGGAAGAACACCGGUGGCGAAGGCGGCUCGCUGGGCAGUGGCUGACGCUGAGGCGCGACAGCGUGGGGAGCAAACAG